UAUUCCUAAUUUGCACAGCGAGAAGAAGAAGGGAAAACAAAGAAAGAGAAGAAGAGAAGAGAAGGAAAGAAGAGCGGGAGGGAAAAUAAAGGGAGAAUUGUGGUUCUUGAGGCAGCAGUUGGGUAAUUCUUCAUCCAGAUGAUGAUCCAGGAAACCAUCCGGAGUCUCUAGCCAAGGAGCCGACUCCUUAUGGAGGUGAUCUUUGGGUCGAGGAGCUAAUUACGCAUGAGGACAGCUCCAUAUGUGAUGAUUGUGCCUUUGGAGCAUACUGAGGAUGAGAGUAUCAUCUUCUAUUUUUUAUUCUUUUGUGUAUAUAUUUGAUGUAGCUCUAGGGACAUAACUAUAAUUAUGGUCUGCUGUGAAAAAUAUUCUUUUGUGUAAUUAUGGUAAAUAUCAUUAGAAGUCACCAAUUGUGUUAUAUUUUAAUUAUUAUUA